rnacentral:lncRNA from 1 species
GGGAGGCUCUAGUUGCCAUGGGCGUAAGCAUCGAACGGUGAUAUAUACAUGAUCUAAGCUCGGAUACAUACAACCACAGUGAUGUAAUUGUGAAGAUAGAGGAGAAAAACACACCUCACUUUACUUCCUCGAAUGAAACCAUGUUAUAAUUGUGAAACCUUCCCAUCCUGCCCAACGAAAUCCACCAUUUUGUCAAAACAGUCUUACUUAGUAAAGGCCAAAUUGGCAUCAAACUUGGCUCAUUAAUUUUGAUAAUAGUGAUGGAAUAGUAUC